rnacentral:rRNA from 1 species
AGCAGCCGCGGUAAUUCCAGCUCCAAUAGCGUAUGCAAAAGUUGUUGCAGUUAAAAAGCUCGUAGUUGAAUUUCGGGACCAUCAUGUCGGUCGUGCCUCGGUACGUACUGGUAUUGUUGGUUUCUCCCUUCUGACGAACCAUGAUGUCAUUAAUUUGGUGUCUUGGGGAAUCAGGACUGUUACUUUGAAAAAUUAGAGUGUUUAAAGCAGGCUCACGCUUGAAUACAUUAGCAUGGAAUAAUGAAAUAGGACGUUUGAUUCUAUUUUGUUGGUUUCUAGGAUUGACGUAAUGAUUAAUAGGGAUAGUUGGGGGCAUUAGUAUUCAAUUGUCAGAGGUGAAAUUCUUGGAUUUAUUGAAGACUAACUACUGCGAAAGCAUUUGCCAAGGAUGUUUUCAUUAAUCAAGAACGAAAGUUAGGGGAUCGAAGACGAUCAGAUACCGUCGUAGUC